GCCAGUGUGGUGUAGUGGUUUGAGCACGGACUAGGACUCUGGAGACAAGGGUUCGAAUCCUGGCUCAGCCA